rnacentral:rRNA from 1 species
UCCUACGGGAGGCAGCAGUGGGGAAUUUUGGACAAUGGGGGCAACCCUGAUCCAGCAAUGCCGCGUGCAGGAAGAAGGCCUUCGGGUUGUAAACUGCUUUUGUACGGAACGAAAAGGCUCUGGUUAAUACCCUGGACUAAUGACGGUACCGUAAGAAUAAGCACCGGCUAACUACGUGCCAGCAGCCGCGGUAAUACGUAGGGUGCAAGCGUUAAUCGGAAUUACUGGGCGUAAAGCGUGCGCAGGCGGUUUUGUAAGACAGGCGUGAAAUCCCCGGGCUCAACCUGGGAAUUGCGCUUGUGACUGCAAGGCUGGAGUGCGGCAGAGGGGGAUGGAAUUCCGCGUGUAGCAGUGAAAUGCGUAGAUAUGCGGAGGAACACCGAUGGCGAAGGCAAUCCCCUGGGCCUGCACUGACGCUCAUGCACGAAAGCGUGGGGAGCAAACAGGAUUAGAUACCCUGGUAGUCCACGCCCUAAACGAUGUCAACUGGUUGUUGGGAAUUUACUUUCUCAGUAACGAAGCUAACGCGUGAAGUUGACCGCC